GGCGCUCAAUAAAUGCUGACCAGUGAAGGAAGGAAUGAAGAAAUGAAGGGCAGGUGAAGUGAUUGAGUGAACCAGGUUGUGGAGCAAUGAGAAACCAGGGCGGAACAAGUUGGCAAUGUCUUUUGACCUGCACAUCAUCCAACCCCUUGGCAUAAGGUGCUUGCCUCAGCUUCUUCUGAGAAACUCCAUCAUCAACUGAAGGCAAAAGGAGGCUUUCUAAGACGAAGCCAGGAUUGCACAACCACCGUCCUCCCUGACCAGACUUAACAGUUACUAUCCAGUCUAGCAGGACCUGCCAUGAUGAUAG